GACGAACGCUGGCGGCGUGCUUAACACAUGCAAGUCGAACGAAGUGGCGAACGGGUGAGUAACGCGUAAUCAACCUGCCCUUAAGAGGGGGACAACAGUUGGAAACGACUGCUAAUACCGCAUACUGAAGGAGGGGAUUGUGGCGGAUUAGCUCGUUGGAGGGGUAACGGCCCACCAAGGCGAUGAUCAGUAGGCUGGCUGAAGAGAUGGACGGCCACAUUGGGACUGAGACACGGCCCAGACUCCGACGGGAGGCAGCAGUGGGGAAUCAUCCGCAAUGGACGAAAGUCUGGCGAAGCAACGCCGGGUGGGUGAUGACGGCCUUCGGGUUGGAAAGCUCUGUUAAUCGGGACGCGGUACCGGAAGAGAAAGCCACGGCUAACUACGUGCCAGCAGCCGCGGUAAUAC
rnacentral:rRNA from 1 species